rnacentral:rRNA from 1 species
CAGUAGCCACGGUAAUACGAAGGGUGCAAGCGUUACUCGGAAUUACUGGGCGUAAAGCGUGCGUAGGUGGUGGUUUAAGUCCGUUGUGAAAGCCCUGGGCUCAACCUGGGAAUUGCAAUGGAUACUGGCAAGCUGGAGUGUGUCAGAGGAUGGUGGAAUUCCCGGUGUAGCGGUGAAAUGCGUAGAGAUCGGGAGGAACAUCAGUGGCGAAGGCGGCCAUCUGGGACAACACUGACGCUGAGGCACGAAAGCGUGGGGAGCAAACAGGAUUAGAUACCCCCGUAGUCCCUGUCUCUUAUAA